GCCUGGCUGGCUCAGUCAGUAAAGCAUAAGACUCUUUAUCUCAGGGUUGUGGGGUUGAGCCCCACACUGGGCU